GGUUGAUCCUGCCAGUAGUUAUAUGCUUGUCUAAAAGAUUAAGCCAUGCAAGUCUAAGUAUAAGCGAUUAUACUGUGAAACUGCAGAUAGCUCAUUAUAACAGUUAUAAUUUACAUGAUAUGAUACACUACAUGGAUACCUGUAGUAAUUCUAGAGCUAAUACAUGUCCUUAAGUCCCUUUACGGGGAUGGGCUUAUUAGGUUUCUUCUUGUCAACCCAGGCAACUGGUUCUCUGGCAAGUCAUAAUAAUUUCUAGAUCGCAAUGCUUUCGGGCGGCGAAGUAUCAUUCAAAU
rnacentral:rRNA from 1 species